GCAUCACGAGGGUUACACUGUCUCCUUUUUCUAAUCAGUGAAACUAAUCUUCCCGUGAAGAAGCGGGAAUAUCCCCAUAAGACGAGAAGACCCCAUGGAGCUUCAAACCCAAUUACACCCCUAACCCCUAUAACUACUUAACCCUUAGGAUUCUGUAUUAUUGGUUUUAGGUUGGGGCGACCACGGAGUACAACAAAACCUCCACAAUGAACGGAACUACUUCCUCAUCUGAGAGCUACACCUCUAAGAAUUAAAAUAUUAACAUAAAAUGAUCCAUUUUUGAUCAAUGAACCAAGUUACCCUGGGGAUAACAGCGCAAUCCAUUUCAAGAGCCCCUAUCGACAAAUGGGUUUACGACCUCGAUGUUGGAUCAGGGUAUCCUGGUGGUGCAGCAGCUAC
rnacentral:rRNA from 1 species